rnacentral:snRNA from 1 species
AUGUGAGGGUGAUCUGGCUGCGACAUCUGUCACCUCAUUGAUCUCCAGGGUUGAUUGGGCUGAUCUGGCUGGCUAGGCAGNUGUCCCCUUACUUCCUCACUGCUUCAUGUGUGUCUGUGUGUCCCUCCUAAAGCUGUGGAAGAGGACGACCUUCCCCAAAUAGAGGAGGACCGGGCAAGGGUAUACAAGUAGCUGCACUCCCCUGUUAGACCCUCCAAACAAGCUCUCAAGAUGACCUCUUCUUUAGUUACUGUCAUCACACACACACACACACACACACACACACACACACACACUCCUUGGAGAAAUCAAUGUAGCUUCAGGUUAUAU